AUUACCACCGAGCGGCGGGUAGAA
rnacentral:snRNA from 1 species